UGAGGAACAGCUUGGCAGAUGUGUUGUUGCCUACCCUUACCAGAUUCCAACCAUGACCAUCCCAUCUUCAGAUCCAUGAGCCUAUAUCCAAAGUGGCGAUCCAGAAGAAGAUGUAGCUAUUGGCCAACCAGUCCUGUUCAGUGUGGCUGCUGUGCAACGUGUCAGUCUGCUCCAACCUCUCCUACACCUGGGAGAGAGGGAAUGAGACAUACAGGGACGACCAGCAGAUACACUUCUCUCUUUCACCAGCAGACGGAGACAUCAGUGUAACCUGCAACGCCUCAGACUCAGUCAGUUGGAAAUCUGCAUCUACAACAGUAUAGUGUAGUAAUGACACAACAACCCCAGAGUAUGAUACAUGGCUGGCCUGGAAUAGGAUCUACAUCGAGGUACCAGUAGGUGGCGCUGUGGUGCUGAUCCUCACUGUAGCUGUUGCAGUGUAUUACUGCAGGGGCCGCUGUAACACGGGUUUGUACAGCAUAGGGGCCUCAUCUAUACUUAAAGGGACAUUUUAGGCUCUGGAUGUAUUCUUAGGAUGUUUAUGAUGUGGCAUAAGCAUAAUUAGAUAUUUUGUUCAAAAUGUUGGGCUUAGGGAUAUUAUGGAAAUCGGAAAGCGAGUGUGAAACCUCAGAAGUGUGUAAUGUAUUAAUUAUUGGGUAUGUUUGUGGAUAUCCUGUUUAGUAUCUAUCUUAUUGGUUGAUAUUUUGUUCUUGUCAUAAACAGCAGAUCUAACUGACAACACAAGAAUGAAAGAUACAAGAUCAAACAGUCAGGUAAUGUCCAUCUAUGAGACUGUAGGUGAUCUGGCUGUCCCAAGACUGAACACGCCGCAGACUCUGUAUGACAAGAUCACAUUUGGACGCCAGCCAGAAGCCCCUUCUUCUUCCAACCAGGAAGUACUGUGAGCUGAACAGGAUGUGGUCAUAAUCUGGGCAUCUAUAGAUAUAGAACCCUCUGCAUCCUCAGCAUCCUUCAUGUGUACCUUCUGUACAUAGAUGUUACUGUUUCAUUUCAUCACGACCUGCACAUUUCUGUUUUGUUUUGCUUACUUGUUCAGAACUAGAAUCUUCGUCUGUUCAUGAUCAUUAUGUGGUACAACUUGUUAUUUUCAAGAUAUUCAGAGUUACAUAACUAUUUCCUAGGUUAUAUUGCAUUCUAUUGUUGCAUUAACUGUUUAUAUUUGCGUAAUAACAACUAAUAGCAAUACAAAACUAUAUUCUUAAAGAUUACCGGUGAUUCUGUGGGACUCUACAAGAGUUGAAAACAAUUUAUUUGUAUGUAUUGUAGUUUAGAUGUGUAUUGUACAGUAAAAAGUUUUACAUUCCACAGACAUGCUUUGUAGAAAUCACAUAGGCCACAUUCCCAUCAAUUCAAAAUAUGCUCAAACUAUAUUUUGUUAUUGUGUGAAAUCAGACAAUGAAUAGGCCUUAAAACAAUAAUACUGUCUUUACAUAUUGAGAAAAAGGAGAGAACAUCCUAAUAAAUAUAAUGAUUUGUAGAAAUCUUAACGCAGAGAUCAUAUAAUGAUUCACAGUCACAAAAGUGCAGUAUUUGAGAAAGGCUACCUUUAAGUGAUAGAAAAACAUGAAUUACAACAUAAAUUACAUUUUUGUAUUUCAGGUGUA